rnacentral:rRNA from 1 species
CACGUAGGGCGCAAGCGUUGUCCGGAAUUAUUGGGCGUAAAGAGCUCGUAGGCGGUUUGUCGCGUCGAAUGUGAAAACCCGGGGCUCAACCCCGGGCCUGCAUUCGAUACGGGCAGGCUAGAGUUCGGUAGGGGGAGUCUGGAAUUCCUGGUGUAGCGGUGAAAUGCGCAGAUAUCAGGAGGAACACCGGUGGCGAAGGCGGGACUCUGGGCCGAUACUGACGCUGAGGAGCGAAAGCGUGGGGAGCAAACAGG